GCCCAGGAGCGAAUCCUGAAUGUAGUCCGGCGCCGUGCACGUGGAUGUGGAUGUGCCUAGAAAUACAGGACUACGUCAUUUAAAAGAUCGAAUAUGAUUUACCGGAUGUGGCCGAGUCUCUGUUAUAGAAGGACAGAAACAUGAUGCCAGCAGACAGUAGCGCCAACUCCUCAACACUGAACACGUAGUCCCCGGCUGAAUAAAACCAAAAAAAAGUCUUUAGUUAUUAAAAGUUGAAUGAUUGUUGUCCAUUAU